rnacentral:rRNA from 1 species
UACGUAGGGAGCAAGCGUUGUCCGGAAUCAUUGGCGUAAAGCGCGCGUAGGUGGUCCCGUAAGUCCGCUGUGAAAGUCAAAGGCUCAACCUUUGAAAGCCGGUGGAUACUGUGGGACUAGAGUACGGAAGAGGCGAGUGGAAAUUCCUGGUGUAGCGGUGGAAUGCGCAGAUAUCAGGAAGAACACCCGUGGCAAAAGCGGCUCUCUGGAAACGGGGUACUGACGCUGAGACGCGAAAAAGCGUGGGGGAGC